AUGGCCAUCUUCGACGAGUUCUAUGCUGGGUCCAUCAACCUCGGGUGCCUCAACUAUGGGAUCAUUUCGCUCAUCCCCAAGUUGCCUGGAGCUUCUGACAUCUAUCGGUUUCGCCCGAUCACGGUCAUCAAUGUGAUUUUCCGGAUCCGGGCGAAAGGGUACGCCAAUAGGGUGACCCUGCUUGCCGACCACAUUACCCACCCCAACCAGUCCGCCUUCAUUCAAGGGCGGUAUAUCCUGGAUGGGGUGCUAGUUCUCCACGAAGUCCUCCAUGAGGUCCGGUCUAAGCACCUCAAGGCGGUUUUCCUGAAGAUCGUUUUCCAUAAGGCGUACGACACUGUUAGUUGGCCCUUCCUUCGGGAAGUUCUUCUCCGGAAAGGCUUUGACGACCGAUGGAUUUCCAGAGUGAUCCAGAUGGUUUCCUGCGGUCGCACUGCUGUGAACAUCAAUGGAGAGAUCGGCCCUUACUUCCCCACCCUCUGUGGGGUUAGACAAGGCGAUCCGUUCUCCCCAUUCUUGUUCAAUAUGGUGGUGGACGCGCUUGCCGCCAUCUUGGACAAGGCUAAGGCUGCUGGCCAUAUUCGUGGGAUCACCCCCACCUGGCCGGCGGCUCUGGGAUCUCCCUCCUCCAGUACGCCGAUGACACCAUCAACAUGGUCGAAGGCUCGGAUGCGGACAUCUCUAACCUUAAGUUCCUCCUCCUCUGCUUCCAACAAAUGUCUGGCCUCAAGAUCAACUUUGACAAGAGUGAUGUGA
rnacentral:rRNA from 1 species